rnacentral:lncRNA from 1 species
GUGAGCUCCUAGAGGGUGGCCUGGGUUCUCACCAUCCCUGUAUCCCAUGCCAGUGAGCCUAGCACACAGCUGGGGCCUAAAAUAUAUUUUGAAGGAAGCAAAGAGAAAAUAAGAUCGCCAUGAUCCACAUGCUGACAGACAUCCUGGGCUCUGACUGAGCACUGUACUGCUGUACACUAUCACACUGCACAAUUGCCUUGGUUUCACUGGAUGCCUGUGGUUUAGGUGAGCAUCUGUAGGGGGAAGGCACGAAACAACCAGAAGAGUUAUUGUGCUAUCCACGGUGUCCUGCGACUGCGGCCAUACAGUGGAUUACUAUGUGGAGAAGGUACCCUGGUCACCCCAGCUCAUUGAUGGAAAAGCAGAUUGCACAUUUAUCAUCUAAUAUGCUGUACUCAUCUCUUGGUGGCAGUGAGAUGGACAGCAAGGACACAUAGCACUGGAGAAAUCAAUGGAGGCCGAAGGACAGGAAGUGUCCACAAAAGUGGAGAACACACCUGGCAAAUUUCCAGGCAGACCUAAAGUAGCUGCAGAAUUGAGAUUUCUUGACCUGCAAGAUGGCUGGUUGACCCCACAGAGUCCUCUCAGCUCCAAAUCUGUGCUCAGCUUCAUGCCCUCAGGCAUGGGCCACACCUACACAGGGCGUGGAAGGGAGAGUCAGAGUUCUUCUCCACGUGCCCCAGCAGCAGAGCUCUACAGACCAGGGCUGGCUGAGACAGGAGCCUUGGCUGAUUGAAGCAGAUCCUGGUCAAGGAUGGACCAUUUCUGCUGCGGCUAGGGAAGCUCACAUAGAAACCAUGCUGCUCCUGAUUUCAGAUGCCUCAAAGUGAGCUGAGAGUGAGUUUGGGUGCAUUAAAGCACUACUAGAACAUUCUGAAUCCAUGGGAUUCAUAUGAAAAUAAAACAUCAUCCAGCAUACAAGCUGCUUUCUG